rnacentral:rRNA from 1 species
CGGGGGGGGCAAGCGUUGUUCGGAAUUACUGGGCGUAAAGGGCGCGUAGGCGGUUCGCUAAGUCGAAUGUGAAAACUCUGGGCUCAACCCAGAGCCUGCAUCCGAAACUGGCGGGCUAGAGUUCUGGAGGGGGGUAGCGGAAUUCCUGGUGUAGCGGUGAAAUGCGUAGAUAUCAGGAGGAACACCGGUGGCGAAGGCGGCUACCUGGACAGAAACUGACGCUGAGGCGCGAAAGCUAGGGGAGCAAACAGGAUUAGAUACCCUGGUAGUCCUAGCCCUAAACGAUGGAUACUUGGUGUGACUGGGAUUGAAUCCAGUCGUGCCGAAGCUAACGCAUUAAGUAUCCCGCCUGGGGAGUACGGUCGCAAGGCUG